UGAGUGUGAAAGGCAAUCGCGGCGCCUGUAAAUUUUCGGAUUUGCAGGCGGUGAGGAAAGUCCGAGCUCCAUAGGGCGGAAUGCCGGAUAACGUCCGGCGAGGGAAACCUUAGGGAUAGUGCCACAGAAAAGUGUACCGCCAGAUUUAUCUGGUAAGGGUGGAACGGUGCGGUAAGAGCGCACCAGCAAGUAAGUAAUUACUUGGCUUGGUAAACCCCAUUCGGAGUAAGACCAAAUAGGGAAGGGAUGAAGCGGCCCGCUGAACCUUCCGGGUUGUGUCGCUGUAUCUUGCGAGUAAUCGCAGGAAUAGAUAAAUGAUUGCCACCGCUUGUCGGAACAGAACUCGGCUUAUUGAACACUCACCUC
rnacentral:RNase_P_RNA from 1 species